AAUAACUCAAUUCUUGAGUUUCCGUGUCUAACGUUUGACCGUCCGUCUUAUUUAAAAAAAAUAAAAAAAUUUAAAAAGAUAAAUCACACAUAAAGUAUUAUUCAUGUUUUAUCAUCUAACAACAAUGAAAAUACUAAUCAUGAAAAAAAUUCACAUAAGACGGACAGUCAAACGUAGGACACGAAAACCCAGAAAUUGAGUCUUU
rnacentral:pre_miRNA from 1 species